UGGUAGAUAUUCCCUAUCAAAUAAAAAUUCUGCAUUUUAUUAAUGUUCUAGAGAAUAUAAAUAUACUUGGUAAGCCUCUUGAGUUUAUGUAGACCAGUGAGGUUAUCUCUCUAAUUGGCUAAUAUCAAUAAUAAUUUUAUUAGGUCACACAUCUAUAUGAACCCUUGUUAGACCUGUGUAUUUGAACUUGUCAGUCAAGCAUUUGAAAUAAAAGGCCCAAUCUAUUUUUCAUCUAUAUAUCCCACUGAUGUGUGGGUAGUAUUCAAGUAUCCUGAACGCCUAUUUGUUAAUUCAUUUGACAUUCUAUCAAUUUUUAUCAAGCAUUCGAGAUAUACCCCUGAUGAAGUCUUUGAGCAAGACGAAACGCGUUGGGUUUUUCUAUUUGUUACACCAAUCUCCAAACUUGCUAUAAGGAGAAGGAGGAGUCUGUAAAAGUUAUUCUACUUGUCCUCUGUAUAAUUGUUUGGUGUCAUUUGUUAAGGAUGGAUACUUAAUUCUCUGUACCAUUGCUUGUGUUUUUAUGUUUUAAUAAAUUUUAUAUGGAACAUGUUAAUGUGAUUUUUAUGCUCUAAAAUAUUGAGCAAACAUAUACUUAUACAUGUCUAGAGAUUCCUGCUGAAUCCUAUUUAUUAUUGGGAGGAAGUAUAU